GAUGAACGCUGGCGGCGUGCCUAAUACAUGCAAGUCGAGCGAACAGACGAGGAGCUUGCUCCUCUGACGUUAGCGGCGGACGGGUGAGUAACACGUGGAUAACCUACCUAUAAGACUGGGAUAACUUCGGGAAACCGGAGCUAAUACCGGAUAAUAUAUUGAACCGCAUGGUUCAAUAGUGAAAGCCGGUUUUGCUGUCACUUAUAGAUGGAUCCGCGCCGCAUUAGCUAGUUGGUAAGGUAACGGCUUACCAAGGCGACGAUGAGUAGCCGAUCUGAGAGGGUGAUCGGCCACGCUGGAACAGAGACACGGUCCAGACUCCUACGGGAGGCAGCAGUAGGGAAUCUUCCGCAAUGGGCGAAAGCCUGACGGAGCAACGCCGCGUGAGUGAUGAAGGUCUUCGGAUCGUAAAACUCUGUUAUUAGGGAAGAACAAAUGUGUAAGUAACUAUGCACGUCUUGACGGUACCUAAUCAGAAAGCCACGGCUAACUACGUG
rnacentral:rRNA from 1 species